GACGAACGCUGGCGGCGUGCCUAACACAUGCAAGUCGAGCGAAUGAAGUUCCUUCGGGAACGGAUUUAGCGGCGGACGGGUGAGUAACACGUGGGCAACCUGCCCCAUAGAGGGGAAUAGCCUUCCGAGAGGGAGAUUAAUACCGCAUAAGAUUGUAGUACCGCAUGGUACAGCAAUUAAAGGAGCAAUCCGCUAUGAGAUGGGCCCGCGGCGCAUUAGCUAGUUGGUGAGGUAACGGCUCACCAAGGCGACGAUGCGUAGCCGACCUGAGAGGGUGAUCGGCCACAUUGGGACUGAGACACGGCCCAGACUCCUACGGGAGGCAGCAGUGGGGAAUAUUGCACAAUGGGGGAAACCCUGAUGCAGCAACGCCGCGUGAGUGAUGACGGCCUUCGGGUUGUAAAGCUCUGUCUUCAGGGACGAUAAUGACGGUACCUGAGGAGGAAGCCACGGCUAACUACGUGCAGCCGCAGUAAUAC
rnacentral:rRNA from 1 species